CUAAAAAGGACAAAAAAUUAUGACUUUUUAAGGAUACCAGGGGGUUGCCUGACUUAAGCCUCUAAUUUUCUUCUUGAGUGCAUUGACAAUGCUUAACAAAAACUACCCAAUCAACACUAGCAUCCCCACAACUAUUAUUUCCACUAUUUUCACAAGUGGAAGAAGGAUUGCCUAGGUCAGCACAACUCCUUCUGUCUGUAAUCCCAUCCUAAUUUCACACAUGUAGGAACCUUAGUGACUGUAAUGCUACAGCAUAUUAGCA
rnacentral:lncRNA from 1 species